rnacentral:sRNA from 1 species
AUUCGUAUAACGCCUAUCCAUGAUGGCGCGGAAUCUUUUCUUCUGUCAGAUAAACCCAAAUUACGCGAUACACUGUUCGGCGUUUACCAUUAAUAAUGGAUGUGCGAAUGUACGACAAAGGUUGCGUCAGGCUUACAGCCCUCCGCCGAGACGCGAUACCUUUUUCCCCAACGCUUCGCAUUGGGCUGAAUUAACACGCCCUUUCAGGGCUCUUACAGCAGUCAGCCGUCAGUUCCGCAUUCCUCCUUGGAAGGGGGGAAGGGGGAUGUUCAUAUCGGCGUUAUGACGGGUGAACACAGAGGUUCGCCCCUACAUGAACUGCCCUUUCCUCUACCCUGUCAUUCAGAGCGAAGCGAUGAAUCUCCUUCCUUCUCCAAGUGAGAUUCCUCACGGUGUUCGGAAUGACAAGGAGGGGCGUUCAGAGCACUUCCCUUGUCAUCCAGAACGUCAGCGAUGAAUCUCUUUUCCUCUUCCUCGCGGGAUUCCUCACUGCGCUCGGAAUGACAGGGGUACAUGUUGUAGAGACACAAAUCAUUGCGUCUCUACGGUGCGUACUGCGUUCAUUUGCGUCCAUUUGUGAAAUUUGUGUUCGGACACCGUGUACCUUGUACAUAACCAUUACCCGAUAGGGCUGAAAGCCCGCUUUAUUUCAGCCCUAUCCCGCAAGGGUGGGGUAUCCAUGCCAAUACCUUGGUUAGAGGGCUGUAAGCCUGACAUAAUCGUUAGCGGUCAGUAUUCAGCAAUCAGUCAACAAAUCAACAUGUCAACAAUAAUGCAAUGAAGGAGGCUUAUCGGCAAAUUCGUAUAGCAGAAAUAUAUGCAACUCGCGUAAAUUGGAUGACGAGUGGCAAUGAUAGCGAAGAGAGUUUUCAUGAACGUAUAAAAACAGAACUCGUCCAGAUAGUUUUGUAAAAACUCCGGCUUAAUGUCAUGAAAUGUAUUUAGUAAUUGUCGCUUGGCAUUGCUGAUGGCGAUAUGAACCCAAGGGAGUCAUUCUCCCACUUUUUCUUUUGGGAUAAUCUGAGAGUGGUGUCGUGGUACAAAGUUUUCUAACUCCACGUAAGAAGUAGAAUCAUCCGUGUCGAUUUGAUUAGCUCCGGAGGCUAACUGCUGAACCGCUGCAUUAAUGGUCUCUUUUUCCCAAUA